rnacentral:rRNA from 1 species
AGUGUAGGUGGCAUGGCAAGUCAGAAGUGAAAGCCCGGGGCUCAACCCCGGGACUGCUUUUGAAACUGCCAGGCUUGAGUGCAGGAGGGGGUAAGUGGAAUUCCUAGUGUAGCGGUGAAAUGCGUAGAUAUUAGGAGGAACACCAGUGGCGAAGGCGACUUACUGGACUGUAACUGACACUGAGGCUCGAAAGCGUGGGGAGCAAACA